rnacentral:rRNA from 1 species
UACGAAGGGGGCUAGCGUUGCUCGGAAUCACUGGGCGUAAAGGGUGCGUAGGCGGGUCUUUAAGUCAGGGGUGAAAUCCUGGAGCUCAACUCCAGAACUGCCUUUGAUACUGAAGAUCUUGAGUUCGGGAGAGGUGAGUGGAACUGCGAUUGUAGAGGUGAAAUUCGUAGAUAUUCGCAAGAACACCAGUGGCGACGGCGGCUCACUGGCCCGAUACUGACGCUGAGGCACGAAAGCGUGGGGAGCAAACAGG